UGGUGGGUAGUUUGACUGGGGCGGUCUCCUCCUAAAGAGUAACGGAGGAGCACGAAGGUUAGCUAAUCCUGGUCGGACAUCAGGAGGUUAGUGCAAAGGCAUAAGCUAGCUUGACUGCGAGAGUGACGGCUCGAGCAGGUGCGAAAGCAGGUCUUAGUGAUCCGGUGGUUCUGAAUGGAAGGGCCAUCGCUCAACGGAUAAAAGGUACUCCGGGGAUAACAGGCUGAUACCGCCCAAGAGUUCAUAUCGACGGCGGUGUUUGGCACCUCGAUGUCGGCUCAUCACAUCCUGGGGCUGAAGUAGGUCCCAAGGGUAUGGCUGUUCGCCAUUUAAAGUGGUACGCGAGCUGGGUUUAGAACGUCGUGAGACAGUUCGGUCCCUAUCUGCCGUGGGCGCUGGAGAAUUGAGGGGGGCUGCUCCUAGUACGAGAGGACCGGAGUGGACGCAUCACUGGUGUUCGGGUUGUCAUGCCAAUGGCAUUGCCCGGUAGCUAAAUGCGGAAGAGAUAAGUGCUGAAAGCAUCUAAGCACGAAACUUGCCCCGAGAUGAGUUCUCCCUGAGACUUUAAGUCUCCUGAAGGAACGUUAAA
rnacentral:rRNA from 1 species